UUGCAAUUGAGGUUAUGCUUGUCCCCACAUCAAUUUUUCAUUCUAUUAACUUUGUCAGCUGGACUUUAUUAACUGCAGCUGAUUUUCAUGAAUGGAAUAUCG